rnacentral:rRNA from 1 species
GUGGGGAAUAUUGGGCAAUGGAUGCAAGUCUGACCCAGCCAUCCCGCGUGCCGGAAGAAGGCCCUCAGGGUUGUAAACGGCUUUUGACGGUGAAGAAUCGACAGGAUGCGUCCUGUUUUGACGGUAGCCGUUGAAUAAGCACCGGCUAACUCCGUGCCAGCAGCCGCGGUAAUACGGAGGGUGCGAGCGUUGUCCGGAUUUAUUGGGUUUAAAGGGUGCGUAGGCUGGAAGGUCAGUCAGCGGUGAAAAGCUGUCGCUUAACGAUAGUCUUGCCGCAGAUACUUCCUUUCUUGGAUGAGGAGGAGGCCACUGGAACGGAUGGUGUAGCGGUGAAAUGCAUAGAUAUCAUCCAGAACACCGAUUGCGAAGGCAGGUGGCUGUACCUUAAUCGACGCUGAUGCACGAAAGCAUGGGGAGCAAACAGGAUUAGAAACCCGAGUAGUCC